AUGGGACGGAUGUUGGCCGCCGCCAACGCCGGCCGCCGCGCCGUCGCGCUGCAUCAGGAGAAGCGACGUCGGAGCCGCCGCCGUGCCAAGGUGUGGCGGAGAGAACUGCGCUCCGCAUGCGCGUUGGCCGUCUCUGUUGCCGGGCUGCGUGGCGGGCCGUGGUGCUCCUCCGGAGGGAGGAGCGUUGCUGCCGGGAUGUGGUCGUCGCCGCUGUAG
rnacentral:rRNA from 1 species